rnacentral:rRNA from 1 species
UACCAGCACCCCGAGUUGUCGGGACGAUUAUUGGGCCUAAAGCAUCCGUAGCCGGCCUUACAAGUCCCCCGUUAAAUCCGACUGCUUAACAGAUGGGCUGCGGAGGAUACUAUAAGACUAGGAGGCAGGAGAGGCAAGCGGUACUCAGUGGGUAGGGGUAAAAUCCGUUGAUCCAUUGAAGACCACCAGUGGCGAAGGCGGCUUGCCAGAACGCGCUCGACGGUGAGGGAUGAAAGCUGGGGGAGCAAACCGG